rnacentral:rRNA from 1 species
GACGAACGCUGGCGGCGUGCCUAAUACAUGCAAGUCGAACGCAGUGGGGACGGGUGAGUAACACGUGGGUAACCUCCCCUCAGAGGGGAUAACACUUGGAAACAGGUGCUAAACCGAUAUUGAUGGAUGGACCCGCGGUGCAUUAGCUAGUUGGUGAGGUAACGGCUCACCAAGGCCACGAUGCAUAGCAGACCUGAGAGGGGGAUCGGCCACACUGGGACUGAGACACGGCCCAGACUCCUACGUGAGGCAGCAGUAGGGAAUCUGCGGCAAUGGACGCAAGCCUGAUGCAGCCAUGCCGCGUGUGUGAAGAAGGCCUUCGGGUUGUAAGACUUUCAGCGUGGAGGAACGUUACCCGCAGAAGAAGCACCGGCUAACUCCGUGCCAGCAGCCGCGGUAAUAC